rnacentral:tRNA from 1 species
GCGGGGGUUCCCGAGCCUGGCCGAAGGGGCAGGGCUUAGGACCCUGUGGUGAAGACCUUCGUGGGUUCAAAUCCCACCCCCCGCA